GGCUCCAUGGCGUAACGGUAGCGUACCGGGCCCUUUACCCGGGGGUGCAGCGUUCGAUUCCUGCUGGGGCCA
rnacentral:tRNA from 1 species